UACGUAGGGUGCGAGCGUUGUCCGGAAUUACUGGGCGUAAAGAGCUCGUAGGUGGUUUGUCGCGUUGUUCGUGAAAACCGGGGGCUUAACCCUCGGCGUGCGGGCGAUACGGGCAGACUUGAGUACUGCAGGGGAGACUGGAAUUCCUGGUGUAGCGGUGGAAUGCGCAGAUAUCAGGAGGAACACCGGUGGCGAAGGCGGGUCUCUGGGCAGUAACUGACGCUCAGGUGCGAAAGCUAGGGGAGCGAACAGG
rnacentral:rRNA from 1 species